GACGGAGGGUGCAAGCGUUAUUCGGAUUUAUUGGGCGCAAAGAGCAUGUAGGCGGUCGGUCAAGUCUGAUGUGAAAUCCCGGGGCUUAACCUCGGAAGGGCGUUGGAAACUGGUCGACUUGAGUUCGGGAGAGGAAAGCGGAAUUCCGGGUGUAGAGGUGAAAUUCGUAGAUAUCCGGAGGAACACCGGUGGCGAAGGCGGCUUUCCGGACCAAAACUGACGCUGAGAUGCGAAAGCGUGGGGAGCAAACAGG
rnacentral:rRNA from 1 species